GCGGUCGUGGCGGAAUUGGCAGACGCGCAAGAUUCAGGUUCUUGUGGGCGCAAGCUCGUGGAGGUUCAAGUCCUCUCGACCGCACCA
rnacentral:tRNA from 3 species